UCCGGUUUGACACCGGCAGUCUCGCUAGAGUCCUCGCCAUGACGCGUUAGCAACUAGCGACAAGGGUUGCGCUCGUUAAGGGACUUAACCCGACACUUCACAGCACGAGCUGACGACAGCCAUGCAGCACCUGUGCACGUUCCACCCUUGCGGGCGUCAUCCCUGUUUCCAGGGACUAAUCCGUGCAUGUCAAACCCGGGUAAGGUUCUUCGCGUUGCUUCGAAUUAAGCAACAUGCUCCACCGCUUGUGUGAGCCCCCGUCAAUUUCUUUGAGUUUUAGCCUUGCGACCGUACUCCCCAGGCGGCGCACUUAUCAAUUUCUCUACGACCAUUACCGGGUCAGACCGGCAACGGUCUAGUGCGCAUCGUUUAGGGCGUGGACUAC
rnacentral:misc_RNA from 1 species